UAGGGAACAAACGCCGUCGGAAGCGCUUGCAAUAGUCCCGAUCCAAUUUUUUGUGCCGCCAUCCCAGCAAACAACCACUGACGCAGAUUCCGAACCAACCCCUAUGCUACAGAUUGAAGGGGCUAGAGAAACCACUCCUGAAACCCCC